GGUUGUUGUGUUAUAAUUGUGCAGGCCACUUCUGCGAUUGCCAGGUUUCUGGAUGGUCAUGACACUUAGUGGACUUUUAGGGCUUGCCAUUAGCUUCACUUCAAUGUGGUUUCUUCAUCAAACGGGAGCAACAACUUACAGCCUGGUGGGAUCGCUAAACAAGAUACCUUUAUCCAUCGCGGGGAUCGUUCUAUUCAAUGUACCAACCAGUUUACAGAACUCAGCAAGCAUACUCUUUGGUCUUGUGGCUGGGGUUGUAUUUGCCAGAGCCAAAAUGAGGGAGAAGUCCUAAUACCCUUAACAGUUCCAACACAUUUUCCUACAUUAAUCAGUAUAGGACAUGGCAAAAAAGAUGACUAAAGCAGAGCAAUGAGUUUACAACCUCAGAAUUUCUAUUCACAUUAUGUGUGUUUCUGUAACUACUAAACCAUCCGCCACUCUGUUUGUAGAAGAAGACGGUAAAAUAUUAAUGAAUGUAUCGAUUCUUAGUGGUAAAAGAAGUGUUUUUUUUUGGUGA